rnacentral:rRNA from 1 species
AGUGAACGCUGGCGGUAUGCCUAACACAUGCAAGUCGAACGGCAGCACAGUAAGAUCUUUCUCUUACGGUUGGCGAGUGGCGGACGGGUGAGGAAUACAUCGGAAUCUUCUUUUUCUUGGGUGAUUUCGUAGGUAAACUUACGCUAAUACCUCAUAUCUCCUACCGUUUAAAUCAUUAGUUCUUCUGACCUUUCCUGUUUCAUUUAGCCGAUUUCGGAUUAGCUAGUUGGCGGGGUAAAGUCCCACCAAGGCGACGAUCCGUAGCUGGUCUGAGAGGAUGAUCAGCAACACUGGAACUGAGACACGGUCCAGACUCCUACGGGAGGCAGCAGUGGGGAAUAUUGGACAAAGGGCGCAAGCCUGAUCCAGCAAUACCGCGUGGGUGAAGAAGGCCUUCGGGUUGUAAAGCCCUUUUGUUGGGAAAGAAAAGAAGCAGGUUAAUACCCCGAUGUUCUGACGGUACCCAAAGAAUAAGCAACGGCUAACUUCGUG